UACGUAGGGCGCAAGCGUUGUCCGGAAUUAUUGGGCGUAAAGAGCUCGUAGGCGGUCUGUUGCGUCUGCCGUGAAAACCCGAGGCUUAACCUCGGGCCUGCGGUGGAUACGGGCGGACUAGAGGUAGGUAGGGGAGAAUGGAAUUCCCGGUGUAGCGGUGAAAUGCGCAGAUAUCAGGAAGAACACCCGUGGCUAAGGCGGCUCUCUAGUACGGUACUGACGCUGAGACGCGAAAGCGUGGGGAGCGAACAGG
rnacentral:rRNA from 1 species